CCAAAUUGACUUAACCCAAAAUUUUCAGUUCCCCGCUUCACCAAAGUGACCCGCCAUAAACGAACUUUAUUCUCGCGCUUCCCAAUUUUGAUUCAAGUCUAUUCCAAUCGAUCCUGUACUUCUUUUGGUUGCAGUUUUUGAUACGGCGAUGAUGAACAAUCGUAGCAGCAACAACAAAAAUGCCGCGGUUGUUCCACCCACUAUUGCAUCAAAACAAAUUGUCCCAAUCCCUAAGACCGUCAAUACUCUGAAGGUCGUCAAAAGAACCAAACACAAGUGAUAUAUAUGGGUCUAAGGUCUCUAGUAUCGUCAAUGUUUCUUCUGCCUCCAAUGUUUCAUUAGUGUCCACGUUAGCCAUGAGGUACUGAAUGCGGCUACUAUGUGAUGAAGUUCAUGAAAGAGAUAACUUACCAAGGAGUUGAAUUACUUGAUAAUGAUAAUGUUGGGAAAGGAGUAGAGGAAUACUCGGCUGCGGAUAUGUAUGGCAUACGUGAAGAUUGGUCGACUUAUGCGGUUACUUCUAUUUUUAAGUGACAAAUCGUAUUUUAGGUGUUCAAGAUAUGUUGACAAACAAUUCUUUUUUCUCUGUUAACGUUAAAAUAUUUGUAGUGUACUUGACAAAUGAUUAAGUAAUGGAUAGUUUUGUUAUAUA